AAUUAUAAAAAUUCUAAAUAUUUAAAAAAUAUAUUUUCUAUAAAAAUAAUUUUCAAUCUUAAUUAAUACCGAAAAAAUUGAUGGUAUUUAAUUUUUUUGUUCCCCAAUUCUUUGUAGUAGUCCACAAGUGAAUGAUUGGGAAACAUAGAUGGUAUAUGUCUCUCUCACACAUCAAAGAUGGCUGUUAAAGUAGAUAAUGAAGAACUAUAGCACCAACAAGUCAAACCUAAGCAAUAAUGUCCGAAAUUCAUAUCCUCCUACUUUAGACUGUCCAAUUAAAAAAAAAAACUUAGAUUUUUUUUUUUAAAGAACAAAGAAAAUUCAAAACCACCGUUGUAUCUGUAUCUCCAUAAAAUCAGAUUAGCAGAGAAAGAACACCAGCUAGCAUAUACGGCUUUGAGCUGAGAAAUCUCCUCUACAUAGAUAGGUGCUUCCGCUUCCACUUCCUCUUCCUCUUGAUUGAGUUUUGAUUCUUUAUAAAUUAAUAUUGCCUUUCAAGGGGAAAUUAAUUAAGCAGUUGAAUUAACCAUAUGAUAAUAUUGUUAAUAAAUAUUUAUAUUCCAGGUUUCUCUGCAACAAAAAGAAGAUAUCGUAGAGGAAAGGAAGCAAUAAAAAUACAGAUUGAUCAGAUGCGACGAGUGGCGGUCGGCGGCCAGGUGAGUGUGUUCCAUGUUAUAUGCUGGUCAAGGGAGCAGUCUUUUUGCAGAUUAACCUUUCUUUCAUUGUCUGUUCGACCUGAAAUUAAUAUAUAUAGGUUUAGCACUCAGAAAAAAAAAAGGAAAACCCUAGCUAGAGCACCUAAUAAAACCUUAUCUUAAUCAGUUUUGAUUAAUUACUUUGAGUGUCCAUGAUCCGACUUCCUCUAAUUACAUCCAAAAAAUUACCAUCGUUUUGAGAAAAAGCAAAUAUAUAUGUAAGUUUCUGUGCAGCUGUAGCGAUUGGUCUUGCUCUAUCUAUACACAUUAUUUAGUUAUUCGGAUAACCAAUCUAUGCAUGAUUUGAUUUCUUUCUCUAUAUUGAAAGAUUUUUGUACACUAAUGCAUUCGAUUCUUAAUUUCUUCUAUGUAUCGACAUGUGUCUGUGCCAUCUAUCUGCAUAAGCCACUUGGAAUGUUUGUGUUGAAGGUUUAUUGAGUUGGGUUUCGAUAGAAUAUCCAUGCUGUGUUGGUCCCUGUUCAAAUCAAGUUUAGUUAUUUUUGUACAAAAAUAGGCUUAGGGCUAUGUGAUAUCCGUGCAUGUGAAAUACAAACGUAGAUAUAUUUUAAGGUCGAAUAGACAGUGGACGCUAGGUAUUGGCUAAGAGACUGCUCAUUUGACAAGGCUAUUUGCAUGGAAUUCGACUUCCCAAGGAUCCUUCCAUCGCUCUUGUUUUUGUCAGACUUGAACAAGAAGAGAAGGCCCCUUCUCUCGGCUGUCAUGUGGAGAGGGCUCCUUGAGUUUCUUGUGAUGUGGGUCUGUCGGCUGGAGCAACCAUAUUUCAACAUGGCUUUGUUCUUUUCGCGGACCGUUUGAGUUAAGGCUUGGUGGGAAGGUGAUGGGCAUAUGGGUCCGCCGCAUUGAUAUAUCAUUGGCCGAUCGAAGGAAAUAACGUAUAAACUUAAGGAUAUUAUUUAAACUUAAAUAGAUUAGUUUUAGUUCGAAUCAUUCGAAUUAUUAAUCAGGUUAAUUUUCAAAUUUUAUAUAAAAAUGGAAUGAAAUAUAAAUCAAUUAAUUGUGUUAAAAUUGUGGAUUCUAUGUAAAAUAGAACAAUUCCAAUUCUCCACAGAAGAUAAACUCUUCAUGUAUUAUAAUUCAUGUAUUAUAACACAGCAGCAUUGACCCCUUCACGUAUGAUUUAAAUACCAGGAUCACAAGUAAUUAGUCAUGCUGGGCCAUAAUCAAAAGCGUGCUCAGAGCACUGUGCUCUGAAUUAGGUCUCUAUGUGGACAGAUGAACUUUGAAGAGAGUGGCUGUGUGACCAUUGCUCGUGCAAACUCAGGGGUAGGUGGGGUGAAAUACUUUUUUUUUUCCUUAAUUGUGCAAUCAGUUGUAUUUUUUGUCCCCUCGAGACAAAAUUCAGUUUUUUAUUAUUUUCUUUUGAAAUUUUUUGACUGAAAAUAGUGAAUGACUGUGAACAAAGUUUAGGGUUUGAAAUUGGGAUAAAUCAAUUUGAUUUGAUUCUCAUUACUAUAUAUUCUUUACUGAUUUUUUCGAUUGACUAAUGUGAG
rnacentral:misc_RNA from 1 species